rnacentral:rRNA from 1 species
GACGUAGGAUGCGAGCGUUAUUCGGAUUUAUUGGGCGUAAAGCGUGCGUAGGCGGCUGUUUAAGUCUGGUGUUAAAGCUAGGGGCUCAACCCCUGUGGUGCAUCGGAUACUGGGCAGCUUGAGUGCGGUAGGGGAAGGUGGAAUUCCGAGUGUAGCGGUGAAAUGCGUAGAUAUUGGGAAGAACACCUGAGGCGAAGGCGGGUUGCUGGGCUGACACUGACGCUGAGGCGCGAAAGCCAGGGGAGCGAACGGG